GACCUGGUGGUGAAGUGCAUCACACCCACAUUGCUUACAAUUGAACUGGUGCAAAAGUGGCAGUGGGAGUCCCUGGUUCGAUUCCAGGCCAGGUUG